rnacentral:ncRNA from 1 species
AAUAAAGCUUUGAAAAAGAGGAGUAAAGAUAAAAAAGUAUAAAGAGAGGAAAACUCAAAGGCUGAAAGGUUUUCUAUACACAGUUUGUCUUGAAGGUAGCUUUGGAGCUUCUCUACUGAGUUUAGUAAGUAGAGACGGAUUUCUUAUUCGUUAAAUAUACAAGAGCCUGUGGUUUUGCAGGAAAAAAGGUGGUAACGCGAGGUUUUUCGUCCUUUUA